rnacentral:rRNA from 1 species
AGAAUCAACGCUGGCGGCGUGCCUAACACAUGCAAGUCGCACGAGAAAGGGGCUUCGGCUCUGAGUAAAGUGGCGCACGGGUGAGUAACACGUGACUAAUCUACCCUCGAGUGGGGAAUAACCUAGAGAAAUCUGGGCUAAUACCGCAUAACACUUACGAGUCAAAGCAGUAAUGCGCUUGGGGAGGAGGUCGCGGCCGAUUAGCUAGUUGGCGGGUAAUGGCCCACCAAGGCGAUGAUCGGUA